rnacentral:rRNA from 1 species
AUGAUUACUCUAUGCUAGAACUGCCAUGGCGUGCGCAAACCCGCGGCAGUUUGAGAACUUUGCGAUUUCGCAAGGAAGUUUGCCCCUACCGUGCUAUGUAUAGUUGAAACACAAAUAAAGGGAGCACGUCUAGAAGCUCUAGCGAGUACUUUGGGGUAUGAUAAUGCUUAUGCGAUAGAUAGCCAAGGCAGGAGUGGUGGUAUUGGUAUGUUCUGGAACAAUACAAUGAAGGUUGAGAUCUUGGGAGACUCAGUAUACCAUAUAGAUGCAAAUAUUGUGGAGAAUGAUGGGGACCCGUGGAGGUUCACUUGUUUUUACGGUGAGGCCCAAACCAACUCGAGACACCAGACAUGGGAUCUAAUGAAAGGAUUGAAGGAAAUAUGCCCUAGAGGCAAUAAUGAAGUUGUUAUUUAUAUUUACUUAUAUCAUGAUGAAUGUUUAUUAUUCAUGCUAGAAUUGUAUUAA